rnacentral:tRNA from 1 species
AUCUGGUUGGCUCAGCCAGUAGAGCAUGAGACUCUCAACCUCGAGGUCGUGAGUUCAAAUUCCACAUAAAACA